GGUGCUUUGUCGUUAGGUUGAC
rnacentral:miRNA from 1 species